ACAAUCACCACUUCCACCACUUUUUACUGGAGAAGUAGGCUGGCCCAGAUUCAGCAAGGGAGGAAGAAGGGCAUAAGCACCAGAAAAUGGGUGCAACUUGCAGGCCAUGUUGAAUGAUACCAAACACACAACACUGGAUGCAGCUGGUACAUGAAAAAAUCUGGAUUUGACUCCUUGAGAGGAGAGAUCAGGUAGAGAGAGACAAGAUGUUUUCUGCGUGUAAACACAAACACAUCACUUCAUUCUUAGGCUUCCAACAUCUGGAAGGGUGUGAAGACAAAACUCAUUUCCAGAAAACAAGAGUGACACGAGCGUAGAGGAUGGUGAAGAGCACUGCCUUUCCUGCAGAAUUCCAUCUUGGAGCAAACACCCCAACACCUUCCCUUGUUUACCUUUCUCUUUUGCUAGAGUCUUUUCUGCAGCCUGUCCAUUCCUCUGUGGGAGAACAGAGGCUCGGGACACUGUCCCAUCUUAUCCUGAGAGGAUUCCUCUCCUGAAGCAGAGAGGAGGCUCUUAUGUUCAGUAGUGAGUGCUAGUACUCACCAUUAGGUUCACAUUGAGGGCCAAAGCUCUGACCAACUCAGUACUCAUGUGUCAGCUUUCUGUUUCCAUGACAAAAUACCUGAGACAACAAUUUAAAGAAGGAAAGAUUUGUUUUGAUUUACACAGAUUCAGAUGUUUCAGGCCAUGAUUGUUUGGUUCUGUUGUUUUGUGGCCUGUAGCAAAAUAGAACAUCAUGUGGGGAGCAGAGCUCAUGACAGCUGGGAAGCAAAAAGAGAGAAAAAAGGGUACAGAGUCCCAAUAUGUGCUUCAAGGACAUAUACCAGGUGACCUAAUCUCUCUCCACUAGGUCCCAUAACCUCCCAGUGGCACCACUGGCCGGGACCAGGCCUUCCAUGCUUGGGCCUUUGGGAGACAUUAAGGAUCCAAACUCCAGCAACACCUGCUUCCAUUCUCUGCUAGAGACCUACACAGAGAAGGGACAGGGACUCAUUUAACAUUCUGAGGAGAGGAAAGGACAUCAACAGAACUUGAUUUCCAUCACCACUUUCGAUGUUCAGGACAGUCUCCCACCCAAGAAAUUCCCUUUAAGACUCGGUAUUUUCAUCUUUAAUAUGGGAAUAGUAACAUCUUUUUCACAGCCCAAACAAUCUUGGGCUGAAACAUCUGAAUCUGUAAGUCAAAAUCACAUCUUAUCUGAGAUGAGAUACCUGUAUCUGUUUAAAGAAGACCAAGAGUGAAACAUAUUCCUUUGACAGCUGGCUGACUCCCACUCCUCCCGAAACCUUUAAAAGUAUCAAUACCCUGAUUUCGAAGAUCUGGUCCUUAGCUUUGUAAGUGCAGAAUUUAGUUUCUUAGUUCACUUACAAAAAGCCUUAGAGGAUGUGUAGA